CUCACCUGUUUCAGAGUUCGUUCCAUGUCGAUGCCCUGAUUCCAAGGAGCAGCUGGGUUGGCCAGACAAUCUCCAGCAUUGCCUCUGCGAAAGAUGUCGAUCUUCUGUCUGCGCAGAUUACGAAAUGCCUCCGCCAUCACUAGCACACCAUCGUACGUCAGUGAUGAUGAGUACUGAGGAGGAAAGUGAAGCUCUGUCGCAGAGAAUUACAGCCAGAGGACACGCUGUCUUCUACAUUUGUUAAUUUCCUCCAGCCCUCCAUCACUGGAUGAAGCGCGCCAGCACUCACCAGGUCUUCCAGCAGUCUUCGGUAACUGGCGUCGUUGAAGUUCUCCACGCAGAUGGCACUGACCUGCCAACCGUUCUGACCCGCCUUCUCCAUGAUGGCCUGCAGGAUGGCAUAUCCUAACAACAACAACAGCAAAACACUCUAAUACGGCUGUACAUCAUCACCUAAACAUGCGUAUAGCACACAUUGGUAAAUCUCACUUAUAUCAG